GCCGCCGGUCUUCUUCCGGCGGAGCAGGCCCGACAUGGGAGACCCGCCCCGGGAACGGGACGGGGACAGGGUCCGGAUCACUUCUUGCUUGAGGGACGAGAAGAAACCGUGCUUCUUCUCCAUGUUCGAACAGAGAGAUGAGAGAGAGAGAGAGAGAGGAGUUGCAGGAAAGCGCAGCGGAAGUGGGAACAAUACUUCCGUUUUUGAAGUGUGUGCGAGGGACCGAGCGGG